rnacentral:rRNA from 1 species
AGAGUUUGAUCCUGGCUCAGGACACACGCUAGCGGCGUACUUAACGAAUGCGAGUCGAGCGACGAAAGCCGGCUUCGGCUGGCCUGAAAGCGGCGAACGGGUGCGUAACACGUAGGUAACCUACCCUUGAGUCUGGGAUAGCCCCCAGAAAUGGGGGGUAAUACCGGAUGCGUUCCAUCGACUGCGGUCGGUGGAGGAAAGGGCUUGACCCGCUCAAGGAUGGGCCUGCGGCCCAUUAGCUAGUUGGUGGGGUAAUGGCCUACCAAGGCGACGAUGGGUAGCCGGCCUGAGAGGGCGACCGGCCACACUGGGACUGAGACAUGGUCCAGACUCCUACGGGAGUUAGCAUCGAGGGAUAUUGCGCAAUGGGCGAAAGCCAGACGCAGUGACGCCGCGUGGAGGACGAAGGCCUUCGGGUCGUAAACUCCUGUCGGGUGGGAGGAGAGCCUCGCUGAACAGGCGGGGUCUGUACAGUACCACCCCAAGAAAGCCCACAGCUAACUACGUGCCAGCAGCUGCGGUAAUACGUAGGUGGCGAGCGUCGUCCGGGAUUUACUGGGCGUAAAGGGCGUCUAGGCGGCCUGAUAAGCGGAGUGUGAAAUCUCUGGGCUUAACCCAGAAACGCCGCUCCGAACUGUCAGGCUUGAGUGCGGGAGAGGGCAGUGGAAUUCCCGGUGUAGCGGUGAAAUGUUUAGAUAUCGGGAGGAACACCAGUGGCGAAGGCGGCUGCCUGGACCGUUACUGACGCUGAAGCGCGAAAGCUAGGGGAGCGAACGGGAUUAGAUACCCCGGUAGUCCUAGCCGUAAACGAUGAGCACUAGGUGUUGGGAGCAUCGACCCUCCCAGUGCCGCAGCUAACGCAAUAAGUGCUCCGCCUGGGGAGUACGGCCGCAAGGUUGAAACUCAAAGGAAUUGACGGGGGCCCGCACAAGCGGUGGAGCGUGUUGCUCAAUCCGACGCAACGCGAAGAACCUUACCAGGCCUUGACAUCGAGGGACCAUCCGUGAAAACGGACUUCCGAAAGGACCCAAAGACAGGUGGUGCAUGGCUGUCGUCAGCUCGUGUCGUGAGAUGUUGGGUUAAGUCCCGCAACGAGCGCAACCCUCACCGACUGUUGCCAGCGGGUAAAGCCGGGAACUCUGUCGGAACUGCCGGAGCAAUCCGGAGGAAGGUGGGGAUGA